GGUACAGCAGGACUUCCCAGAUGAUUCAUUUCACGUAAGCAAGAGAGAGGCUCUAUUGAAAUAUCUUUUGGAGCUGAUCAAUAUCAGCGAGGCAGAUCAGAGGAGAAGAGUGGAAAAAAUAGAUAGAGCCACUAGUGCUGUCACAAUCUACGGAACAGGAGAUCUUGGACUAGUACCAGCACCUAUGUCAAUUAGAAGUUCACAUGCUUUAAAACCCAAAAAUAAUAUGACACCGACAGCCACAUUUGAAAUUACAGGGGAUGAAAAUGUAAAAUUGAGACCAAAAACAGCUGGACCCCGCUAUGGUGUUACAAAGGUACAUGGUUUAAAGCCUCAGUUUCAGUCUCAAUACAUGGAAGAAGAUAAAUAAGGAACCCGCUAACUGAGGUCAUAAUUAAUUCAUUCAGAGGAGAUAACCAAGAAUUAUGGCUGGAAGAUACAAAAUGGUAGGAAAGAAAGCCACUCAAGAUGAGAAAUUGAACAAUGGGCAGAUAAGACAAAAACAAAGUGUUGAUUAAUCUAGAUCAUCUAUCUGUCUGUUUGGUCAGACACUAGCAUUACUUCUCAACACUUUCUCUGUGAUUGUACUAUUGUUUGUAUUCCAACAAUGAUUUUAUAUUACACAUUAAGGGCUUGUUUCUCAUUUUGAAACUUCUUUGAAAGUCAUGUCAUUUCUGUAUCUUUCAAAGCCUAUCAGAACUGUCUUUAAAUAAGAUUCUUUCUUGAUUUUACUCAAAGUUUUGUUAUUGAUGACUGUGCUGCAUUUGACCAUUGCCUUUCCCUGUGCUAAUAAUUUAGAUACUAUGGACAUGGACAAGGGGCAAAGCAUUGUUCUGCACCUCCAUCCAUGGUAGUUAGCAUAAUUUAUAACCUGUCACAUUUGCAUUUUUUGUGCAACUCAGUAG